UUUAGAGUUUGAUCCAUGGCUCAGAGCGAACGCUAGCGGCGCGCCUAACACAUGCAAGUCGUGCGAGAAAGCGGGGGCAACUCCGCAAGUAGAGCGGCGCACGGGUGAGUAACACGUGGGUAAUCUACCCUCAAGCUCGGAAUAACCAGCCGAAAGGUUGGCUAAUACCGGAUAAGACCACGGGACGCAUGUCCUGCGGUCAAAGGCGGGUCGCAAGAUCUGUCACUUGGGGAUGAGCCCGCAUCCCAUCAGCUAGUUGGUGAGGUAACGGCUCACCAAGGCUAAGACGGGUAGCUGGUCUGAGAGGACGGUGGGCCACACUGGCACUGAAACACGGGCCAGACUCCUACGGGAGGCAGCAGUGGGGAAUUUUGCGCAAUGGGCGGAAGCCUGACGCAGCGACGCCGCGUGAGGGAAGAAGGCCUUCGGGUCGUAAACCUCUGUCGGGGGGGAAGAAACUCUUGGUGGCUAAUACCCACCAGGAUUGACGUACCCCCUAAGGAAGCAUCGGC
rnacentral:rRNA from 1 species